rnacentral:rRNA from 1 species
UUGCAGUUAAAGCUCGUAGUUGGAUUUUGGUUAAGAGGGCGCGGUCGGCCGUUUGGUCUGUACUGCGUUGUCUUGACUUCCUGAUGAGGACAUGCUCUUGGUUAACGCUGAGACAUGGAGUCAUCGUGGUUACUUUGAAAAAAUUAGAGUGUUCAAAGCGGGCUUACGCUUGAAUAUAUUAGCAUGGAAUAACACUAUAGGACUCCUGUCCUAUCUCGUUGGUCUCGGGAUGGGAGUAAUGAUUGAGAGGAACAGUUGGGGGCAUUCGUAUUUCAUUGUCAGAGGUGAAAUUCUUGGAUUUAUGAAAGACGAACUUCUGCGAAAGCAUUUGCCAAGGAUGUUUUCAUUAAUCAAGAACGAAAGUUGGGGGCUCAAAGAUGAUUAGAUACCAUCCUAGUCUCAACCAUAAACGAUGCCGACUAGGGAUUGGUGGAUGUUAAUUGAUGACUUCACCAGCACCUUAUGAGAAAUCAAAGUUUUUGGGUUCCGGGGGGAGUAUGGUCGCAAGGCUGAAACUUAAAGGAAUUGACGGAAGGGCACCACCAGGCGUGGAGCCUGCGGCUUAAUUUGACUCAACACGGGGAAACUUACCACGUCCAGACAUAAGUAUGAUUGACAGAUUGAGAGCUCUUUCUUGAUUCUAUGGGUGGUGGUGCAUGGGCCGUUCUUAGUUGGUGGAGUGAUUUGUCUGGGUUAAUUCCGUUAACGAACGAGACCUCAGCCUGCUAAAUAGUACGCCCUAAUUCUUAGGGUCGCGACUUCUUAAAAGGGA